CGCAAGAGUGAACUAGCUAACUGAAAUCUUCUUUAUGUUUAAGGGCAUAAAGUUCACACUGUGAAUAAAAAGGAUAAGGUAGAGGAAAAUAAUGAUAUUACUUUACUAUAGUGUUGUCUAAAACUGGUGCCAGAAGACUCGGUAAGGCCAGAAACGCAAACGUUAGUCAUCUUUAUCAGGCGUAAAGGGUUAGUAGGCGGCUUUUAUCAUUAACCAAUAGUAAUUACUAUUGUGGUUACUAUAAAUAAUAAAAAUUUUAUUUUUUCUUCCCAGACAAAAUAGAAAAGGUUAAUACAACUAAAAGCUAGAAUCAAAUAGAGGUUAUGGAAUUUAAUAUUUGAAACAGGGCUUAUAUCCUUAGAAUUUAAAUAGAAAAUUAAUGGCGAAGGCUUUUUUUCCACUACUGAUUAUAGAUAUAUAAAUUUGUUUUAUAUAUUUGUAAAUUUGACGCUGAGUAACUAAGGGGAGGAUAGGAAAUAGGAUUAGAUACCCAGAUACCCCUCCCUGUCAACGAUGAAUGGUAAUUUCUAGUGAGAGAAAUCUCUAAACUGGUUUUAAUGUUAACACGUUAACCAUUCCGCCUUGUGAGUACGACUGCAAAGUUGAAAACAAAAAAAUUAGUCGGUUUCGGAGCAAACGAAGUGAA
rnacentral:rRNA from 1 species